rnacentral:siRNA from 1 species
UCGCUGCCGUGAUCGUGGUC